rfam:Dipodomys ordii contig_1533, whole genome shotgun sequence.
GGGAAGGUGGCUCAGUGGUAGAGUGCUUGUCUUGCAUGCAUGAGGCCCUAGGUUCAAUUCCCCUGCACC